rnacentral:ncRNA from 1 species
GCGCCUGCUCCGGGGAGCCCUGGGCCGGACAAGGCGUGAUCGACACGCGCUUCGUCCGGCACGGGCUGAGACAUGGCGAUGAAGCCGUGGACCCGCUGAACUUGAUCCGGUUCGUACCGGCGUAAGAAGAGCCCGCCCUUCAGGC